rnacentral:rRNA from 1 species
CCAAUAGCGUAUAUUAAAGUUGCUGCAGUUAAAAAGCUCGUAGUUGAAUUUCGGGAUCAAUUUGUCGGUCGUGCCUCGGUACGUACUGGCUUAUUGGUUUCUCCCUUCUGACGAACCAUGAUGUCAUUUAUUUGGUGUUGUGGGAAAUCAGGACUGUUACUUUGAAAAAAUUAGAGUGUUUAAAGCAGGCUCACGCUUGAAUACAUUAGCAUGGAAUAAUGAAAUAGGACGUUUGAUUCUAUUUUGUUGGUUUCUAGGAUCGACGUAAUGAUUAAUAGGGAUAGUUGGGGGCAUUAGUAUUCAAUUGUCAGAGGUGAAAUUCUUGGAUUUAUUGAAGACUAACUACUGCGAAAGCAUUUGCCAAGGAUGUUUUCAUUAAUCAAGAACGAAAGUUAGGGGAUCGAAGACGAUCAGAUACCGUCGUAGUCUUAACCAUAAACUAUGCCGACUAGGGAUCGGAUGAUGUUAAUUUUUUAAUGACUCAUUCGGCGCCUUACG